UAUGAACAUGCGGAUUGCCUUCUAUUUAUUGUACACAUAUCCUGCCCAUUGCUUACUCUCUUCCUGGUUAAGAUCUAUGAACUCUUUUAAUUCGAACGGUGUACACAAACAUGUACAAUUCCAAUUCAUGUCAACAAGCAUUCCGAUAGCAUCAGUGACAUUCCUGUGUUCCAUAGCAAUGCAUCCAAGAUUUAUAUGCUCCUUAUGAUCUGUGGGUGGAACGCCUGCUGAUACAGUGGGAGCAGCAAGCACCACGGAGGGCGGUAAACAGUUGGAAAUAUCGUGGCUUGUAAUGUGAUAUUUAAUUAGAAACGAACACCACAGCAAUUUGUUGUAUUGUGUGUUUCCGUAGCCUGGUCUGUCCUCAAAGUUGAUGUCAAUUGUUGUUAAAUUAGAUGACCAGUAUAAGGAAUGUCAUGAAAGUUUGCAUUCUGUGUUGCAUGAAUCUGUGUGUCCUCACAGGUGGACAGGUCAGGGAUUGUUCCAAGUUAGUGAGAGAGAAGCAGUACGUCCACUCUACCAUCCUUCAGACAGAACCCUGAAAUGCAGGGUGUCCCAGGUGAAGCAAAUUCAGUGCAGUUCUCCUGUGUGAGAGAAGGAGGAAUUUAAGAACACAAGCAAGGAGUUUGAGAUGGAUUCCAUACUCAGGAGUGAUUGAGGAUGGAUUUUUAUUAGUAUUCAUUUCUAUGCCACUCAUCACCACAGGAUCUGAGCAACUCCUGAACAGGCAAGAAUACCCCUGUGAGGUUAGGUAAGCAUUAGAACUGGUCAAAACAUUUCUGACAAAAUGUGUUUUUCACUGGAAAAUGCCAUUUAAAAAAAAAUUGAAACUUUCUGCAAGAAUGUGUAG
rnacentral:lncRNA from 1 species